rnacentral:rRNA from 1 species
CUUAAACCCAGACAGCACACAACACCCUGUCCGCCAGAGAACUACAAGCGAAAACUUUAAACUCAAAGGACUUGACGGUGCCCCACAUCAGCCUAGAGGAGCCUGUCCUAUAAUCGAUACCCCACGAUCUACCUUACCCCCCCUUGCAAUAUCAGCCUAUAUACCGCCGUCGCCAGCCCACCUUAUGAUAGCUAAUCAGUGGACAAAAUAAUAAAACCAUAAAGACGUCAGGUCAAGGUGUAGCCUACGGGGGGGCAGCGAUGGGCUACAUUUUCUACCACUAGAAAACCCAACCGUAAGCAACAUGAAACAGGUGCCCAAAGGAGGAUUUAGCAGUAAAUCCAGAGCGAGCUCUGCACAAUUGAACUCGGCCGUG